rnacentral:SRP_RNA from 1 species
CAAGGAACCUCUGAUCGGGAGGCCACCGGUCUCCUGUUGCCACAGAUCCGGUUUAUGGUGGGAUCACAGUUCAAGGGAGGUUCAAUGAUACAGUUAGGCCCGGGUUUCGGCCUGCGAAGCCCCGUCUCCCAGGGUCGGUUCUCUGGUGAACGAGUCAGGCGGGGAACCGAGCAGCUAUAAGUUAGGGAACUCGAUGCUUGCGAGCUCUCGGGGUGGAGAAUGAAACUCGGAUUAACCUAUCUGUAAAGUUGUUCCCACCUUGAGCAUGUUCCUUG